rnacentral:rRNA from 1 species
GGGUCUGUCCACCGGUCGGGCUUUUUCGGUCAGCACUGUUGCGAUGGAUUCCUACCUUCUGAAUUACCGAUUUGCCAUUAAUCUAGUGGGUCGGGGAAGCAGGACUGUUACCUUGAAAAAAUUAGAGUGCUCAAAGCAGGCUAGUGCCUGAAUACAUUAGCAUGGAAUAAUAAAAUAGGACGGCAUGGUUCUAUUUUGUUGGUUUCUAGGAUCACCGUA